GAAUGGUAAAACCAAUGUUGGGCAUUGCUGGAGGAGUUUUAUUCAAGGCGAACUGUCAAGGGGUUCCCAUUAUAACCCAACCGUGUAAGGAACGCAAAAUCCGGGAACAUAACACCGAUAUGAUGGAAACUAGGGCGGCAAGAGUGGAACAAAACACCAGGCAUAAGGUCGAGCCUUCCACCCUUUACCAAGUAUAUAGAUGCAUUAAUUA
rnacentral:rRNA from 1 species